UCAUGGGGAUCUCUCCCAGUCUUUUCUGGUGAGUUUGAAGCUGGAAUAUCUUGGUCACAAGACCUGUGCUGUUCCACAGGGCUCUGGCUCUAAAUGCAGUCUCCUUAUCUCUGGUAUACAUGGCUGAGUCUGAGAGCUGAAGGCAACUGAAGGAUGACAAACACCCCUUGAUAUGUCAGUCUUUCCCCAUCUGCUGUGGGGCCCAAAUCAAGAUGGGGAGGAUGAAGUGCCUGGCACCAGCAAAGAUGCCCCACGUUAUCCUGGUCCUGUUUUACCUUAUGAAGCAUCUGAGCCUUAGUGAAUUCUUUAAUCUGUGCAAUAGGUCAGAGCCUUUAUGCAA